GAUGAACGCUAGCGGCAGGCCUAACACAUGCAAGUCGAGGGGUAACAGAAAAGCUUGCUUUUGCUGCCGACCGGCGCACGGGUGCGUAACGCGUAUGCAACCUACCUCAUACUGGAGGAUAGCCCCUGGAAACGGGGAUUAAUACUCCAUAGUAUCACAAUUUCGCAUGUUAUUGUGAUUAAAGUUUUUCGGUAUGAGAUGGGCAUGCGUCCCAUUAGCUUGUUGGUGAGGUAACGGCUCACCAAGGCAACGAUGGGUAGGGGGCCUGAGAGGGUGGUCCCCCACACUGGUACUGAGACACGGACCAGACUCCUACGGGAGGCAGCAGUGAGGAAUAUUGGUCAAUGGAGGAAACUCUGAACCAGCCAUGCCGCGUGAAGGAUGACGGCCCUAUGGGUUGUAAACUUCUUUUAUAGAGGAAGAAACUUGUCUACGUGUAGACAACUGACGGUACUCUACGAAUAAGGAUCGGCUAACUCCGUG
rnacentral:rRNA from 1 species